rnacentral:rRNA from 1 species
CGAUCGGUAGGGGUUCUGAGAGGAAGGUCCCCCACAUUGGAACUGAGACACGGUCCAAACUCCUACGGGAGGCAGCAGUGAGGAAUAUUGGUCAAUGGGCGGAAGCCUGAACCAGCCAAGUAGCGUGAAGGACGACUGCCCUAUGGGUUGUAAACUUCUUUUAUGCGGGGAUAAAGUUCGCCACGUGUGGCGUUUUGCAGGUACCGCAUGAAUAAGGACCGGCUAAUUCCGUGCCAGCAGCCGCGGUAAUACGGAAGGUCCAGGCGUUAUCCGGAUUCAUUGGGUUUAAAGGGAGCGUAGGCCGCCUUUUAAGCGUGUUGUGAAAUGUAGGGGCUCAACCCCUGCACUGCAGCGCGAACUGGAGGGCUUGAGUACACACAAAGUAGGCGGAAUUCAUGGUGUAGCGGUGAAAUGCUUAGAUAUCAUGAAGAACCCCGAUUGCGAAGGCAGCUUACUGGAGUGUAACUGACGCUGAAGCUCGAAAGCGCGGGUAUCGAACAGGAUUAGAUACCCUGGUAGUCCGCGCGGUAAACGAUGGAUGCCCGCUGUUUGCCAAUUU